ACGACAAGGACUUCGUACAAUUUUGUCCGUUGUCUCCUUGUCUUCAGCAAACGAAUCCAAAUCCAUGCAACCAACUAAGGCAGUGCUGGGUAAAGUCUCUUUCUCUAGUGUGGGUGUGGCUGGCAAUGGUAUGUCUUCUUCAAUAGAAGCAACAAUUUCUUCGGUUCCGAUAUUAAUAUUACCAUCUUUGGCAACAAUUUCUUCGGUUCCGAUAUUAAUAUUACCAUCUUUCUUACUGUGGCUUUUGUUUUUCAUAAUUGCCGAUCCAAUUUUUUUGCCAGCUUUCCUAUCCGAUGCAACGCCUGUGCCGGCGGCGGCCACGUCCACCUUCACUGGUAGUGUUUUUUCACUAGAUGGCCUCCAGAAGGUGUGAAUUUUUCUGCUCAAAUGCGAGUUCCAGUAGUUCUUUAUCUCGUUAUCUGUUCUACCU
rnacentral:lncRNA from 1 species